rnacentral:misc_RNA from 1 species
AAGUCGUAACAAGGUCUCCGUUGGUGAACCAGCGGAGGGAUCAUUACCGAGUAGACUGCUCAUCUCCCCUGUGAACCUAUCUGUUGCCUUGGCAGGGCGCAGCUGCAUGCAUGCUGCCAGAGGCCGCCCGGUGCCCUGCCAAAGGAAUACAAAUGCAGCAAAGAUUAGUGGUUAUCAAAGUAUACACACACACAAACAAACCAAAACUUUCAACAAUGGAUCUCUUGGUUCUG